CAGCCUGGUUCAAGUAAUCCAGGAUAGGCUGUUACCAGGCAACACGGCCUAUUCUUGAUUACUUGUUUCAGGAGG
rnacentral:pre_miRNA from 11 species